rnacentral:piRNA from 1 species
UAGAUAAUUGUUAUAAUACCUUCAUUUUGC